rnacentral:rRNA from 1 species
GACGAACGCUGGCGGCGUGCCUAACACAUGCAAGUCGAACGGAAAGGCCCUGCUUUUGUGGGGUGCUCGAGUGGCGAACGGGUGAGUAACACGUGAGUAACCUGCCCUUGACUUUCGGAUAACUUAAGGAAACUGGGGCUAAUACCGGAUCGGAGCUCAUGCAGCAUUGUGGGGGUUGGAACGUCUCGGCGGUUGGGGAUGGACUCGCGGCUUAUCAGCUUGUUGGUUGGGUAGUGGCUUACCCAGGCUUUGACGGGUAGCCGGCCUGAGAGGGUGACCGGCGACAUUGGGCCUGAGAGAGGGCCCAGACGGCAACGUGGGGCAGCAGUGGGGAAUAUGGCACAGUGGGCCGAAGCGUGAGGCAGAGACGCCGCGGUCGGGAUGACGGCCUUCUGGUUAUAAACCGCUUUCGCCUGUGACGAAGCGGGAGUGACGGUAAUGAGUAAAGAAGCACCGGCUAACUACGUG